CCUGCAGCUGAAGGAAGCUGUGCUGGUGGGCACAUGUGGGCAAGGCUGAAAGGGAUGGAUCCUGGAGACAGACCCACUGGAGCCAAUCCUUCCCCCAGGCUUCCUGCUGAACCUGGUGUUGGCAGAGACCUGGAGACCUGGGGUGUGGUGCAGGAUCACUGCUGUCCCCAUGCAGUCUGGCAGAGAGGCUGCACUGCUCUGGCUUGAUUUCUGAUGUUGAGGUGACCAGGAGGAUGAAGCUCAGUUUAAUGCAGGACCAGGAGGAGGGAAGUUCUCUGCUUCCUAACUGGAGGAUCUCAGUUCCCAAGUGCCUUGGACUGCUCCCACGUAUUCCUUGGGAAUUCAAUGACCUUGAGUUUGCUGUGCUUGAAACUUGCCUUAGUGCUUGGCUUCCUUUCUGGAAUACUUAGGAGAGGAGAGCUGUGCAGAAGGCACUGCAAGACUCUUGAGUGAGACCGGCACUGCUUCACUUAGGAUCAUAUAAGAAGAGGCAUUUGUGCUGUACAAAAUAAACUUCUUGCUUCAGAGCAUGCCUGGAGUUAUUGCACCCAGAGGUCACAGCUGGAUCUGCCUCUGCUUCCCUAGUAAUCUGCCAUGGAAAUUUUGAGUACUGGCUGCUCGGGAUGAUUUUCUUGCCCCUCUUUAUGAAACAAAGCAAAUGUGAACCAGCAGCACAUGAUGGAUGUUGUGUGAGAAGUAACUUGUCUGAGGAAUCACAUCAUUUAAUCGUGCUCCAGAGUUCAGGGCUUCACUUGCCAG